AUGGGGUCGUUGACCAGCACUGGCCCCGCGCCACCCAGAGCGCGGCCGCGGCCGCACGUCGUGCUUCUGGCCAGCCCCGGCGCCGGCCACUUCAUUCCAAUGGCCGAGCUGGCGCGGCGGCUCGUGGAGCUCCAUGGCUUCGCGGCCACGAUCGUCACCUUCACCAACCUCUCCGGCCCGGCAGGCCAGCUUCUCCCGCGCUUCCCCGCCUCCGUCGCCACCGCCGAGCUCCCCGCCGUCCAAAUGAACGACCUCCCCGCCGACGCCCACGACGGCUUAGUGCUCAUGGAGCUCGUCCGCCGCUCCGUCCCCAACAUCCGCGCCCUCCUCCGCUCCAUCAACGACGACUCCAGUGCCGCCCCGCUCGCCGCGCUGGUGCCGGACUUCCUCUGCUCCGUGGCGCUGCCCCUCGCCGCCGAGCUCGGCGUCCCGGGAUACCUCUUCAUCCCUAGCAACCUGGCGUUGGUCGCCCUCACGCGCCACAUCCUCGAGCUCCACGAGGACGCCGCCCCCGGCGAGUACCGCGACCUCGCGGUGCCUCUCGAGCUUCUCGGCGGCAUCUCGCUGUGCCGCGAGGACCUCCCCGACGGGUGCGGCAGUUCCAGGCACCCGGGUUACGAGCAGGUUGUCGAGUUGGGCCGGAGGAUCCGCGCUGCCGAUGGCCUGUUGGUGAACACGUUCUACGAGAUGGAACUUGGCACCGCGGAAGCGUUCAAGCGGCUGGUGGUACCGGAGCAAGCUGCGGGCGCGUUCCUCUUCCCGCCGGUGUUCCCGGCGGGGCCAUUCGUCCAGCGGCCAGAUCCCGACGAAGCCGCCGCGGGCGCGUCGUCGCCAUGCUUGGAGUGGCUCGACCGUCAGCCGGUCGGUUCUGUGGUGUACGUCGCCUUCGGGAGCGGCGGGGCACUUUCUGUAGAGCAGACGGCUGAGCUCGCGGCCGGGCUGGAGGCGAGCGGCCAAAGGUUUCUUUGCGUCAUGCGGAUGCCAAGCACCGACGGCGGCUCCGACGAGGACGAUCCAUUGGCGUGGCUCCCCGAGGGCUUCUUGGGCAGGACGCGGGGCAGGGGCCUGGCCGUCGCGGCGUGGGCGCCUCAGGCGCGCGUGCUGUCCCACACCGCGACCGCCGUCUUCGUGUCGCACUGCGGGUGGAACUCGACGCUGGAGAGCGUGGGGUGCGGCGUGCCCAUGCUCGCGUGGCCGUUGUACGCGAAGCAGAGGAUGAACGCCGUUCUCCUGGAAGAGAGGCUUGGAGUGGCAUUGCGAGUGCCAGCGGAGGUCGGAUGCUUGGUGACCCGCCACGAGAUCGCCACCGCCGUGAAGGAGCUCGUGGAGGGGGAUCAGAAGCUGCGGCGCCAGGCUGAGGACCUGCAGAAAGCGGCAGAACGUGCAUGGUCACCGGAGGGGCCGUCGCGCCGUGCGCUCGAGGAGGUCGCCGUCAAGUGGAAGGCGGCGCUUGGCAGAAAAAGCAACACAUGUAGUGCAUGA
rnacentral:rRNA from 1 species